UCCUGCUCCAGCGGCAAGAUGUGAUCCCAGCAAGGAGGGACGCCAAUAAGUUUCUACUUUAUUCAUUUCAGCCACCAGUUUGAUUAUUUCCUGGCAUCUACUCCUCCAUGGAAUGGUGCAAUUGGGUGUUAUUCCCACAGAAACAGCUGGCCUGAAAAAGGGGGAGCACAUGGACCCCAGACUGAUGUAUGGGAAGCCAGCACGGGACUGAUCCAGACCCCUGAACGUGGAUGUCAAUGAGGAGACCUCAGCACUCUAUGGGGCCCCUGGUAGUGGAUCAGUAUUUUUCCCUGAUAUAAG
rnacentral:lncRNA from 1 species